GUGGAAAACCAUAGCAUCAUCAGGAACAACACUGGACAAGGUGCUGCCAUCACUGCUCUCUGUGCUGGAGGGCUGGCCACAGCAGAGAAUGUACACCUCAGAUGGAGACAAUACGGAUGUAUUUUCCCUGGCUGCAACCAGGGUGGUUUGGGAGAUUCUCCGCCUGCCCUGGUGCCCAGAGCCGUUUAUGGAAUAUUCCCCCCAUCUCGUCGUGGCUCUGCUCUUCCAAGUUUUUAUCAGUACAGAGCAGGUGCCAGAGGAGGUUGAUAAUUUCUGGAGGACAUGUCAGGAGGAACACGGCCUUUCCACGAGCAUCAACAGGUUUGCAAUGCAGACUUUAAGGGCGCUGUUCCACCAUCUGCAGUGUGUGCAUUUAGUGGUUGCAAUGG